rnacentral:rRNA from 1 species
UACGUAGGGUGCGAGCGUUGCCCGGAUUUAUUGGGCGUAAAGGGCGCGUAGGCGGUCACGCACGUCCGUUGUGAAAUCGCUCGGCUCAACUGGGCGGGGUCAGCGGAUACGGCGUGGCUGGAGCAAGCUAGGGGGCAAUGGAAUUCCCGGUGUAGUGGUGGAAUGCGUAGAUAUCGGGAGGAACACCAGUGGCGAAGGCGGUUGCCUGGAGCUUUGCUGACGCUGAUGCGCGAAAGCUAGGGGAGCAAACAGG